AUUCGCGGCCUAUCAGCUUGUUGGUGAGGUAAUGGCUCACCAAGGCGACGACGGGUAGCCGGCCUGAGAGGGUGACCGGCCACACUGGGACUGAGACACGGCCCAGACUCCUACGGGAGGCAGCAGUGGGGAAUAUUGCACAAUGGGCGAAAGCCUGAUGCAGCAACGCCGCGUGAGGGAUGACGGCCUUCGGGUUGUAAAUCUCUUUUAGUAGGGAAGAAGCGUAAGUGACGGUACCUGCAGAAAAAGCACCGGCUAACUACGUGCCAGCAGCCGCGGUAAUACGUAGGGUGCAAGCGUUGUCCGGAAUUAUUGGGCGUAAAGAGCUCGUAGGCGGUUUGUCGCGUCUGCUGUGAAAUCCCGAGGCUCAACCUCGGGCUUGCAGUGGGUACGGGCAGACUAGAGUGCGGUAGGGGAGAUUGGAAUUCCUGGUGUAGCGGUGGAAUGCGCAGA
rnacentral:rRNA from 1 species